rnacentral:rRNA from 1 species
UACGUGGGGUGCAAGCGUUGUUCGGAAUUACUGGGCGUAAAGCGCGUGUAGGCGGUCGAACAUGUCGGAUGUGAAAGCCCUUGGCUUAACCAAGGAAGUGCGUCCGAAACUAUUUGACUAGAGUGCGGGAGAGGAGAGUGGAAUUCCCAGUGUAGAGGUGAAAUUCGUAGAUAUUGGGAGGAACAUCGGUGGCGAAAGCGGCUCUCUGGAUCGCAACUGACGCUAAGACGCGAAAGCGUGGGGAUCAAACAGG